GACGUAGGGCGCGAGCGUUGUCCGGAUUUAUUGGGCGUAAAGAGCUCGUAGGCGGCUCGUUGCGUCGGCUGUGAAAACCCGCAGCUCAACUGUGGGCUUGCAGCUGAUACGGGCGGGCUGGGAUUCGGUAGGGGAGACUGGAAUUCCUGGUGUAGCGGUGAAAUGCGCAGAUAUCAGGAGGAACACCGGUGGCGAAGGCGGGUCUCUGGGCCGAUAUCGACACUGAGGUGCGAAAGCGUGGGGAGCAAACAGG
rnacentral:rRNA from 1 species